rnacentral:rRNA from 1 species
AGAGUUUGAUCAUGGCUCAGAAACAACGCUGGCGGCGCGCUUAACACAUGCAAGUCGAACGAGAAAGCCGGGGCAACCUGGUGAGUACAGUGGCGUACGGGUGAGUAACACGUGGGUAAUCUAACUCUUAGUGAGGAAUAACCCUGGGAAACCGGGGCUAAUACCGCAUAAGCCCGAGAGGGGAAAGUCGCAAGACGCUGAGAGAGGAGCCCGCGGCCGAUUAGCUAGUUGGCAGGGUAAGAGCCUACCAAGGCAGAGAUCGGUAGCCGGCCUGAGAGGGCACACGGCCACACUGGCACUGAAACACGGGCCAGACUCCUACGGGAGGCAGCAGUGGGGAAUCUUGCACAAUGGGGGAAACCCUGAUGCAGCGACGCCGCGUGAGCGAUGAAGCCCUUCGGGGUGUAAAGCUCUUUCGGCAGGGACGAUAAUGACGGUACCUGCAGAAGCAGCUGCGGCUAACUACGUGCCAGCAGCCGCGGUAAUACGUAGGCAGCGAGCGUUGUUCGGAGUUACUGGGCGUAAAGGGUGUGUAGGCGGUUGCUUAAGUUUGGUGUGAAAUCUCCCGGCUCAACUGGGAGGGUGCGCCGAAUACUGAGCGGCUAGAGUGCGGGAGAGGAGAGUGGAAUUCCUGGUGUAGCGGUGAAAUGCGUAGAUAUCAGGAGGAACACCGGUGGUGUAGACGGCUCUCUGGACCGUAACUGACGCUGAGACACGAAAGCGUGGGUAGCAAACAGGAUUAGAUACCCUGGUAGUCCACGCCCUAAACGAUGCAUAUUUGGUGUGGGUCAUUCAGUUGAUCCGUGCCGGAGCUAACGCGUUAAAUAUGCCGCCUGGGGAGUACAGUCGCAAGGCUGAAACUCAAAUGAAUUGACGG